GCAUUAAUGGGGUAGUGGUAACCUUGGUCGUUACUAUUGACCAGCCGCAGGUUCGAUUCUUGCUUAAUAAA